rnacentral:other from 1 species
AAUUUCCUGCUGUGUUCGACCACUCCGACAACUAACAGGUCCGGACCGUUGAUACGUUAUUGGGGGCUUUAGCUGAGCGGCGGCUGUCAGGCCUUCCUGGAAGGCAAAAGUCGUCCGGCGGCUCCCUCCCUGUUGAGAAACGGGAACGUGACCUAUCCUCGGAGCCGGCAUGAGCGGGUAACUA